rnacentral:tRNA from 1 species
GCCGGUGUUGCUCAGUAGUUAGAGCAUUGGUCCCAGCACCAAAGGGUCAUGGGUUCGAUUCCCAGGUAAGGGCA